rnacentral:lncRNA from 1 species
CUGUUGUAUUCGAAAGUAAGAGAUAGUGUAGUUACAAUGUACGAGCUUAGGUUCUAUUUAUAGACUACAUAAGGGGGGGGCAAAAUAGUAAAAUCAAUGCUAAGGCAUGCACUUGGCGUGAUAGAGGGGCAUGUCGGUAAAUUUGCCUUCACGCGGGAAAUCUCCCGCGUCUCUGGCGAUUCCGCUGAUGAAGACGGCUCCUCUGGUGAGAGCUACUUCUCUGACGAAGGUGACUUCUCUGGCGAAGGUGACUUCUCUGGCGAGGGUGACUUCUCUGACGAGGGUGACUUCUCUGGUGUAUAAGAUGCCUUUAGCGAGUAAGAUCCCUCUGGUGAGGAUGAUUUCCUCUGACGAGUGCGCUUCCUCUGCCAUACUUAUUCCGCUGGUGGAGUCGAUUCCUCUGAUUUGCAUCAUUUCCCUACUCUGCACAUAUCACUCCUCAUCAGAAUUACAAGAUGUAUGCUUAAAAAAAUAAUAAAAUUACACGAUGUAUCUGUUAUGUAUAAUUAAAUAAACAACCCGCAUGUAGGCCAGAGCUCUCUACACCACAUAAAUGUGAGAAAAUUAUCCGUACGCAUACGGGAUUAAACUCAAGACCUUUCAAAAAAGAGAGUCUUUGGAUGCCUCAACUUUUUCACUUAAACUAUGUCUCAUCGGCCAUGAAAAUGAUUCAAAUUUCUUAAGUAGCAAAUUCUCUAUAUUUUUGAAUAUAUCAGUUUUCAUAAAUGAUCAUAAUAUUUCAUAGCAAAUUCAAGUGAACUUAUUUUUUUUAUAAUAAAUGUGAUUUGUAUAAUAAUCAAUCUCAUAUUUGUGAUAUGUAAUAUAUUAGUUGAUAAGAUAUAUUGAAAUUGUAUACACUUAAUUAAUAUUUAUUGUAAUUAUAUUUUAUAUUACAUAUACCACUUAAGAUGUGCUAUAUGAAAUCAUACAUAUUUGUAUAAUAUUUUCAUAUGUUAAAUUCAUAAAAGAUUAUGUGCUUUAUAUCAAAUAAAAUAUUAAAAUAUUAUAAGUAUAUACUAUCUAAUCACUCCUAAGAAGGGAAGUUAAGAUUAAUAUUAGUGUCAAUAUAUGAAUCUAGCCUAUUUCAUAUUGUAAAAUUAAAAUCUAGCCUAUGAAAUAAAAACAUAAAAAAUUAGCCAGUUUUUUAGCACAAAGACAAAAAUACCCCUCUAUAAAAAGCUAGAUUGCACGGGUGCGAGGGGGCGGGGGCGGGAGCGAUACGAUUCGGGUACGGGGAUACGGAUUUUCAAAAAUUAUAGGGUGAGAUUCGUGAAGGAUACGUCUAUUAUAUUUAUAUAUUUUAUUAUAUAUAAUCAAUCAAAUACAUAUAUAUUUAUAUAUUUUAUUAUAUGUAAUCUAUCAAAUUUAAAAAUUACUAGAAUAAAAUCUAAAAGGCUAUAUUAAAAUAACCCAUUUAAAAUAAACAUAUAUUUCAAUUCCCCACCCCAACCCCACCCACUAAACAUAUAUUUAAAUUCCCAAAAAUCCAACCUGUCCCCCACCCCCAAUUCUCGUCACCCCCUUACCCCCAAAUCCAGUUUCUUUUCCCCUCCCCAAAUUUCCCAUCGACGGCUGCCUCCUGCUUUCCUUCUCUUCAGACCCAGACCUCGCCUCCCCUCCCAUGGGCCACGGCCCCAUCCCCAAUCCACCUCCGUCCGCUUCAAUUGUUUUAAAUUCAGUCUGCUAUCUCUCGCGCCGCACCGCACUGCGCCGUUCUGUGCUCUGCCGUCCGCGCACGCCGGCCAUUUCUCCCUGCCCGCUGCGCACGCCGGCCAUUUCUACAGCCGCGACUCAGCCAGAGCACUGCCAUCGCCACCUCCCUCGCCACAGCCGGAUUCGUGAGAUUGGCGCACCGAUUCGCGAAUCCGAUUUUUUUUUUUUUGAUUUUUGGGGGGAUUCGCCAGGUGGCGAAUCCCGUGCGAAUCCCACGCGAAUCGCGCCCGCACCCGCCCCCCGCGCGAAUCGGAUACUGCACGGUGUUGAUUUCCGGCGAAUCCGUGCAUUAUAGAUAAAAAUUAUCUCUCUGUGUCCGUACUCUCUCAGUCUCUCUCUUUCUCUCUCUCCUAUUUCUCUCUCUACGUCUGCCAUUUGGGGAUCCAGAGCGUGGCGGCGGUGGCGCCGUUCAGGGCGUGCUUCGGCUCGGAAUCGAUCGCGAGGACGGCGGCGGGGCCAGCGGUGCCGGAGAUUGAGCUGGUUUUGGCGGGGAAGGGUGCUGCGACGUGGAGGAUGAGGUGGUCGAAUGUGAUGGUGGAGAUCGAUCGGAAAACGACGUGCCUGGGAUUUGUGGACGGCGGUUCUAAGACGGAGGGAGCCGCGCACGCGGCAGCGGUGCUCCGCCACUGCUGACUCGCCGGGAAGAAGACGCUAUUCUGGCUGAGGUAGAGGUUGAAGAAGGCGUCCAGAUUGAAACAGUGAUUUACGAUUUGGAAGAAAUCGUGGCUCGGGCAGGCCGUCGGCCGUCCUGAUCUGCGCGGCGGCGGUGGAGUCGAUGGCUUGUCGAUCUCCGCGGAGGAAUCCGGCGAGGUCUACGGGCGAAGGGGUGGCAAGCUUCCGGCUGAGGGAGAGGUUGAAGAAGGCAUCUAGAUUGAAACCGUGAUUUACGAUUUGGAAGAAAUCGUGGCUCGAGCAGGCCGUUGGCCGUCCUGAUCUGCGCGGCGGCGGUGGAGUCGAUGGCUUGUCGAUCUCCGCGGAGGAAUCCGGCGAGGUCUACCGGCGAAGGGGUGUGUGUUUGUGUGUGUGUGUGUGUGUGUGUGAGAGAGAGAGAGAGAGAGAGAGAGAGAGAGAGAGAGAGCCUGCAAAGUCAGAGAGAAGAAA